AGCGGCGAACGGGUGUGUAACACGUGAGAAUCUACCCAUUAGUGAUGGAUACCUUCAGGAAACUGAAGUUAAUACAGCAUACGACCCUUCGGGGAGAAAGGAGGCCUCUUUGCUUCCGCUGAUGGAUGAGCUCGCGGCCUAUUAGUUUGUUGGUGGGGUAAAGGCCUACCAAGACGAUGAUGGGUAGCCGGCCUGAGAGGGUGAUCGGCCACAUUGGGACUGAGAUACGGCCCAGACUCCUACGGGAGGCAGCAGUGAGGAAUUUUGCGCAAUGGACGAAAGUCUGACGCAGCGACGUCGCGUGGAGGAUGAAGGUUUUCGGAUCGUAAACUCCUGUUAAGUGGGAAGAAAAGCACGCGGUUAAUACCCGUGUGUCAUGACUGUACCACUAGAGAAAGCACCGGCUAACUUCGUGCCAGCAGCCGCGGUAAUACGAGGGGUGCAAGCGUUAUUCGGAAUUACUGGGCGUAAAGGGCGUGUAGGCGGCCUACUAAGUCAGUUGUUAAAUCCCUCAGCCUAACUGAGGACUCGCGAUUGAUACUGGUAGGCUAGAGUGCAGGAGAGAGAGGUGGAAUUAUCGGAGUAGCGGUAAAAUGCGUAGAUCUCGAUAGGAACACCGAUGGCGAAGGCAGCCUCUUGGCCUGUGUCUGACGCUGAGGCGCGAAAGCGUGGGGAGCAAACAGGAUUAGAUACCCUGGUAGUCCACGCCGUACACGAUGAUCACUAGAUGUGGCUAGAGCUUGCUCCGGCCGUGUCGCAGCUAACGCAUUAAGUGAUCCGCCUGGGAACUACGAUCGCAAGAUUAAAACUCAAAGGAAUUGACGGGGGUCCGCACAAGCGGUGGAACAUGUGGUUUAAUUCGACGCUACGCGAGUAACCUUACCUAGGUUUGACAUGCUUUUGA
rnacentral:rRNA from 1 species